rnacentral:tRNA from 1 species
CAAUAAGAGAAAAUAAUACCCACUUUUCGGCUUACAAGGCCAAUGCUCUAAAUUUAAGCUAUUAUUGC